UCUCGAUAACGUAAACGUUAACCCAACUUUGUAUGCAGUUGGAACGUUUGCGUUCGUUUGCCGCUAGGGGCGCUGUGCCGAUUGCAUACAAAUUACAGUUAACUUUUACGCUAUCGA
rnacentral:pre_miRNA from 9 species